rnacentral:rRNA from 1 species
GACAGAGGAUGCAAGCGUUAUCCGGAAUGAUUGGGCGUAAAGCGUCUGUAGGUGGCUUUUUAAGUCCGCCGUCAAAUCCCAGGCUCAACCCUGGACAGGCGGUGGAAACUACCAAGCUGGAGUACGGUAGGGGCAGAGGGAAUUUCCGGUGGAGCGGUGAAAUGCGUAGAGAUCGGAAAGAACACCACGGCGGAAAGCACUCUGCUGGCCGACACUGACACUGAGAGACGAAAGCUAGGGGAGCGAAUGGGAUUAGAACCGUACCUA